AUUGAACGCUGGCGGCAGGCCUAACACAUGCAAGUCGAACGAGUGGCUUACGGGUGAGUAAUGUCUGGGAAACUGUCCGAUGGAGGGGGAUAACUACUGGAAACGGUAGCUAAUACCGCAUACCAUCAGAUGUGCCCAUAUGGGAUUAGCUUGUGGGUGGGGUAACGGCUCACCAAGGCGACGAUCCCUAGCUGGUCUGAGAGGAUGACCAGCCACACUGGAACGGAGACACGGGCCAGACUCCUACGGGAGGAAGCAGUGGGGAAUAUUGAACAAUGGGCGCAAGCCUGAUGCAGCCAUGCCGCGUGUAUGAAGAAGGCAUUCGGGUUGUAAAGUACUUUCAGCGGGGAGGCGUUACCCGCAGAAGAAGCAACGGCUAAAUCCGUGCCAGCAGCCGCGGUAAUUC
rnacentral:rRNA from 1 species